UGCUCUUUCUAGAUAAGAAAAGGCACAGUUGAUCAUGGUAUCUAGAAAUGGUUAAUGUGACUAAAUUGUGACAGGUUAUGCUUCCAUCUAAGUAAAUUUAUUGCAGUGGUGACAGUGAAACCAUAACAAUU
rnacentral:snoRNA from 1 species